CUGACCUUGUAUACCCGAUCCUCAAAACUACGUAGUUUUGUGUACCCCUUUCCUUUUCUUUAAUUACAUCGAUUUCUUCUUAUUUUCUGUAACAUUUCUCACCCCUUGUCCGACCGACGUUCCCAUCCGCCACCACCACCCACCCGUUUUUCCUCUUCCCUUCUUACUCUUCACCGGAAGUCCGCAUCUUCACCAAAUCGAUUUCAUAGAAAUUAGAAUUCAAUUCAUAGAGUUCCCAUAAAUCUCAUUAUUUCUAUUUCAUUGAUUCAUUCUUUCUUUAUCGCCAUCUCAUUCUUUCUCUGUCGCCGACUCAUUCUUUCCUCCUCACUUGUCACUCUUCACCGGAAAUCACCAUCACAAAAUUGGAACUGGGUCCUAGGGUCCAUGGGUUAUCGAUGCUUAUUGAUUUGAAAAAGAUUGUGAUUUAAGCAGGUUCUCAUGGAUAAUAUUUUGCUCCUGUGUACAUACAGCCAAUAACAAUGUUGUAUAUGUAAAUUAGAAGGGCAAUAAUGUCAUGCGUCGCUAAAAAAAAAAUUUCCAUUCGUCUUGGGAAUCAGUGUUUCCUUUGCUCAUUUUUCAUCCAUCCAAAAAACAGGAUACACAACUUUGCCUCAAAACAAAGUGUCGAACCAACAUUGCAAUUGUCUUUUGGCGACCCAACAUGAGCAAAAUCGUCUAACAAGGGAAAAAGCCAUCACACUUAUGUGUUAAAGAUGUACCAGUGAUCAUGGAAGUUAAUGUGAUGUAUGCAAGAUGUACCAGUGAGAUUGAAGUGUGUCUUGACUAGUUCUUUGUAGCUAAGGGUUUCUGCUCAUGUGUUUAGUAAAUAAAUUAUUGGUAGUUUGAUUGUGAUUUGAAUAGCUUCCAUGUUCUUGUUUUGGUAUUUGUUUUUCUUUCUCUUGCGUUGACCUUUUAACUUGGUCAACAGUUAUGUAACUUAAAAAGGCAAUGCAAUUUCGUAUUUUGACUA